rnacentral:rRNA from 1 species
AUGGGAGGGAGAGGGGUGAAGCAACAAACCGGAGAGCGCAGGGGUGAGCACGCCGUCGCCGAUGAGCAUGCACGUCCCGAGCAGCGCGAAGAGCAGCAGGAGCCGCUGCAGCACCCUGUACCUCUCCAGCACCGUCCUGGCCCUGGACCGGUCGCCGCGACGGCCGGCGGCGUCCUUGUCGUCCGCCAUGAGGUCCUCGCUGUUGCCGCCGCCGGGAAGGAGGCCGGCGCGCACGUGGCGGCAGAUGAGGGAGUAGAGCGCGAAGGUGCCGCCCUCGCCGCCGUCGUUGGCGCGGAGCACGAUGAGGACGUACUUGAGGAGGGAGAUGAGGGUGAGCGUCCAGAAGACGAAGGAGAGGACGCCGUAGAUCUCCUCGUUGCCCGCCGUGUGCGUGAUGUCGUCGCCGGCGAAGGCGCUCUUGAAGACGUAGAGCGGCGACGUGGCCACGUCGCCGUACACCACCCCGAGGCUCUGGUACGCCAGCAGCAGCACCGCGCCCCACGACUCCCCCUGCUUCCGCCGCGCAGCAGCAAGAAGAAGAAGCAGCAAAACCCGUCAGCACACAAACAAAGCCGCCCGAGCGAAGCUCCGGCGCCGAAUCCAAGAAACCAGAGCGCUCGCUCGCUCGCUCACUCACCUUCCGCGGGGCCCCCGCGCCGUGCGCGAGCUCCAGAUCCAUGCCUUGCUCGCGUCCGCCCGGACUGCCCGCGCCUCAAUGCGCCGCGGCGCCCAUGGGAGAGCCCGCGCUCCAAAUCACCGGAAGAAGACGGACGGACGAUUCCCGCCCGGCAAACCGCACCGCGGGGCACACAGCAGGAUUUAUCGCCUUGGACGCUUCCGGGAGAAUCCUCCUUCCUCCUCCGACGCGCACUCGCCGUCUCCAACCAGCUUUGCUCCUCCUCCGGGCCACGAAGACGGAAGCGGCAGCGGCGGCGGGUGCUUUUCUUUUGCCGCUCCGAGAAGGCCGCGACGAGUCAAACAAAACAAGUGAAGGGAACAGGGUCGGGCGGCAAGACUGGAGAGCAAAGCCCGAGUGACCAGCCAACCAACCAAGCGGGUGCAAGAGGAAGAAGAUAG